rnacentral:rRNA from 1 species
AUUGAACGCUGGCGGCAUGCCUUACACAUGCAAGUCGAACGGUAACAGGCCGCAAGGUGCUGACGAGUGGCGAACGGGUGAGUAAUGCAUCGGAACGAGCCCAGUAGUGGGGGAUAGUCCGGCGAAAGCCGGAUUAAUACCGCAUACGACCUGAGGGUGAAAGGGGGGGAUCGCAAGACCUCUCGCUAUUGGAGCGGCCGAUGUCAGAUUAGCUAGUUGGUGGGGUAAAGGCCUACCAAGGCAACGAUCUGUAGUUGGUCUGAGAGGACGACCAGCCACACUGGGACUGAGACACGGCCCAGACUCCUACGGGAGGCAGCAGUGGGGAAUUUUGGACAAUGGGCGCAAGCCUGAUCCAGCAAUGCCGCGUGCAGGAAGAAGGCCUUCGGGUUGUAAACUGCUUUUGUCAGGGAAGAAAUCUUCUGGGUUAAUACCUCGGGAGGAUGACGGUACCUGAAGAAUAAGCACCGGCUAACUACGUGCCAGCCGCCGCGGUAACAC